rnacentral:lncRNA from 1 species
GAAGCUUGAAACCAAAAACUACAAUGCAAAAAUUCUGUCACCUUCUACUCUUCUCUGCUUUGAUCUCUUCUGCCAGCUUGGCACCCAUCACUCCGAAAACAAGAGAACCCGACCUGGAGACUAUCAUUGCUCAAACUCUGGAAUUAUCACGUAAUAUCACUAUGGACCCAGGAAAGGAUAGAGAGGUGAAAAUUGUUUCAGAGGAAUUCAACAGGCAGGAGCCCAAAUGCAUACAGACACAUAUAAAGACUUUUUCUGAUGGUUUACAUGUAAGGGACCAAGCAAUCAAGAAAAACCUAGAAAGGAUUGCUGCACGCUUCAAUGCUUCUUCCUGUCCCGCACUCGAUGAAACUUCCUGCAGCUUCCGAAUACCUGAUCAUGAAGAAUUCAAAACUCAAUUAAUUCAGUUUUUAGAAGAGAUCCCCUCUGACUGCCAGAACCUGAAACCUCCAUCAUCUGCUAAGAACUGACCUGCACCAAAGCCUUCACUGUCCAGAGCCUGUCUCCUUUGCCCCCUCAGGGAAACAGAGCCCAGGCCAAGACUGAGUUUUCAGUCUGGCAAGAGACUGGGCUACUAGCUUCAGCUCCACAGGAUCUCCCAGGUGCAAAGGGCUCCCGGGGUCCUAAAUGGGGUCAGGUUCUGUUACGUUUACAUGGACCUCUACAUAAACUUUGGGACUCGUUUUGCUGUGUUGGG